rnacentral:rRNA from 2 species
GGAGCCGACCUUGAAAUACCACCCUUUAAUGUUUGAUGUUCUAACGUGGACCCGUUACCCGGGUUGCGGACAGUGUCUGGUGGGUAGUUUGACUGGGGCGGUCUCCUCCUAAAGAGUAACGGAGGAGCACGAAGGUUGGCUAAUCCUGGUCGGACAUCAGGAGGUUAGUGCAAUGGCAUAAGCCAGCUUGACUGCGAGCGUGACGGCGCGAGCAGGUGCGAAAGCAGGUCAUAGUGAUCCGGUGGUUCUGAAUGGAAGGGCCAUCGCUCAACGGAUAAAAGGUACUCCGGGGAUAACAGGCUGAUACCGCCCAAGAGUUCAUAUCGACGGCGGUGUUUGGCACCUCGAUGUCGGCUCAUCACAUCCUGGGGCUGAAGUAGGUCCCAAGGGUAUGGCUGUUCGCCAUUUAAAGUGGUACGCGAGCUGGGUUUAGAACGUCGUGAGACAGUUCGGUCCCUAUCUGCCGUGGGCGCUGGAGAACUGAGGGGGGCUGCUCCUAGUACGAGAGGACCGGAGUGGACGCAUCACUGGUGUUCGGGUUGUCAUGCCAAUGGCACUGCCCGGUAGCUAAAUGCGGAAGAGAUAAGUGCUGAAAGCAUCUAAGCACGAAACUUGCCCCGA